rnacentral:rRNA from 1 species
UCUCCUACGGGAGGCAGCAGUAGGGAAUCUUCCACAAUGGACGCAAGUCUGAUGGAGCAACGCCGCGUGAGUGAAGAAGGCUUUCGGGUCGUAAAACUCUGUUGUUGGAGAAGAAUGGUCGGCAGAGUAACUGUUGUCGGCGUGACGGUAUCCAACCAGAAAGCCACGGCUAACUACGUGCCAGCAGCCGCGGUAAUACGUAGGUGGCAAGCGUUAUCCGGAUUUAUUGGGCGUAAAGCGAGCGCAGGCGGUUUUUUAAGUCUGAUGUGAAAGCCCUCGGCUUAACCGAGGAAGUGCAUCGGAAACUGGGAAACUUGAGUGCAGAAGAGGACAGUGGAACUCCAUGUGUAGCGGUGAAAUGCGUAGAUAUAUGGAAGAACACCAGUGGCGAAGGCGGCUGUCUGGUCUGUAACUGACGCUGAGGCUCGAAAGCAUGGGUAGCGAACAGGAUUAGAUACCCUGGUAGUCCAUGCCGUAAACGAUGAAUGCUAGGUGUUGGAGGGUUUCCGCCCUUCAGUGCCGCAGCUAACGCAUUAAGCAUUCCGCCUGGGGAGUACGACCGCAAGGUUGAAACUCAAAGGAAUUGACGGA